ensembl:lncRNA
CGCGGUGCCAGGAGGGGCGCAGAGGAGAGGUCGCUCCUCUCCCGUGCAGCCACCGCAGGCAGGUGAAGCUGCAGCUUCCCACCUCCUGGAGCAGGUGCCUUUGCUCGCAGCCGAGCUGCUCGGAGCUGCUGUGCAGCAGCCGGGCUGGCAGCCCGUGGGUCCGUGCCGUGGGAGGCUGGCAAUGCAGCAGUGGGCUGGGUGCUGACGGAGCAGCCCCGGGAGCUGCCUGUCAUUGCCCUGUCACAACAGCCCGGUGACUGGGACUUGUUAAUGUGAUAGUUUCUCUCCCUGCCAGAACCUGGCCUGAAAGUCCAUGUGGAAAGACAAACUAACUGUGAACCAGACGCAGACAUCAGCGCCCGGGGCGCAGCGCGUACCAAGAUAGCCCACAGCCACCUGCCAGCUUGCCACUGACCUUUUAUCUGCAUAAAUAGUCGUGACCUUUGGGCUGCUCAAAUUAGUGCUAGCUGCUCACCCAGGCCAGUAUCACAGCCCCAUCGUGCACAGGCCUUCUGCUACUUUGACUCUGUUGCCUUCGCUUGGUGAACCAACAGGCAGAGGCACCGGGCUCAUGGCCUCUGUAGGCUGCAAACACCUCGCUGGAGCCUUCGUCCACCACUGAAGGGCACAAAGACCAAGGGAGGGAUCCUGCCACCCGCAGCUGUGUUGUCACUUCUCUGUAGGGCACGGUGAGCCUUCAGCUGCACUCCUGCUUGGGGCAUUAAUUCAGCACAUCCUUCAGGAAGAGUCCUGAAAGAGUUUUAAAAUCAACAGAAAGAAAUCAUUACCAAAAUGGCUACUCUUUCAGUAAGCCUCAAAAUGAGUUAUUUUGGUUAACACAGAAGUAGUUCACUACGUCACAGAUCUUUCUUUCCAAUAAAGUCUACGUUUUAUUCAGUGGACUGUAAGUUGUGUAGGGUUUAAUGCACAUUAUUUUCUCAGCAGAUGAAAACUAGCAUAUUUAUUUAUUUAUGUAUGCAUUUGCACCGUUUUACAAACAUGUUCUUUCAGAUUGCUUAGGAGACCCUCUGGAUGCCUAGCUGAUGAUAUUGACUACGUCUGAAAGAAGAAGAGUCGGAUACUUAAAAGACAUAAAGCAGGAAAAAAAAAUACAAUUUUCUAGGUUCUUUAAGUUGAAGACUGCAUAAGCAUAUUCCAGAGAGACUUUACUCUGCCUAAAAUUUGCUUCAAAGCUCUUCUCUUCUGAUUUACUUUAACUGGAGCUAUUUUCUCUCUCUCUGUUCUAGUCACGGGAUAGUGGAUUCCAAAAGCAUUUUUCCACCUGAUGUCCAUUGUGUGCAUGAUGCUUUAAAAAUUCAAUUGACUCCUCUCAACAUUCUAGAGACUUGUUAAGUUGCACCAAGGCAAACUGUCAGGCACGGAAUGAGAAGGUGCUGUUUAUGGCCGCAGCCCUUGCUGCCUGCUUUUACCUAUGACAUUUUUGGACAGGAAUAGGAAACCCCACAGGGUUGGGAGGUCAACUUGUUUCACUUGGCUGGCGCCCCCGGACUAGCACGAGUCAUAGAAUGGCGAGGGUUGGAAGGGACCUUAAAGCUCAUGCAGUUCCAACCGCCUGCCGUGGACAGGGCUGCCACCCACCAGCUCAGGCUGCCCAGGGCUCCAUCCAACCUGGCCUUGACACCUCCAGGGAUGGGGCAUCCACAGCCAGAUGGAUGGAUGCCCACGUGCUCUGGGCAGCCCAAAGCUCAGAUGUACAAUUGCUUGCAGAAAGUGAAUUCCAGCCAUAGUUUUUAGCUCCUUCUUUUGUUUUAUCUUUUACAGCAGUUCCAAAAGUGCAUUCACUUGAAACUUCUAAAAGCAAUUUGGUUUGCUUUCACUUGUUCCUCAUUUCAGCUAUCUGGUCCUCCCUAUCUGUGGCUGUACCAGCAGCAAUGCUACCCUGAGCCUCUCACGGGUAAAUAAGAAGUCAACACGCAUGUUUGCAAAGUAUGUUUAACUUGCGUCUUUCAUCUGUGAUUAAUAUUAAAUCUAUUGAGCUACAUAAAUAAGUAAUUCACUUACAGACCUGUCAAACCAAUAGUAAUUUCUUCCCCUCUGAAGCUCUGAGCUAUCCGUUCUAAUUGUUUAAUUUCCUUUUGUGUACCUGGAGAUAAAAACAGCCUGCUAGGCCGCUUCCACUUGGAAAGAAGGGAGGGCUGCCCAGUCACUCUCCUCCUCUGCCUCUUUCCCACUGCGUACAAGGUCUGCAAAUGUCCUUAAAAGCCUUGAGUGAAGAGUAAAAGAGCCAUUUUGCACAUCAUUUCUGCGGUGGUAGCUUGUGCAUGGAAAGUGGACUCCUGCUCAGCCUUCUGGCUUGGAUCACAGCCCUGCAAAAUCAUCUCCACCAAGAGACUAUGGAUCUGUUUCUGUUCUCCUGCAAAUGAAAUUAGCAGAAUUAUAUAAACAUAAAACCAGGGGCAAAUGAGAGGAAACUCAUGUUUGCUCUUUUGUGUUGAUAUGGAGUUGUGCUCCUCGAGCACUAAUAAGGCAGUGCUCUCACGGAAGACUGAGAGCAUGUAUUCAGGCCCCUGGCCUCCCAGUGACUGUGCACAACACUCAGCUCCUUUAAGUUUACAAGUACUUUACAGGUUGCUUAUAGAGAAGAGUAUGAAGUUGGUUUGAGGGAAAAUAAUCCCCAGGUUGGGAAGUCCCUCCUAGCUAAAGAAAGCACUGAGCACAGGGAGUCGAGAGGAAACCUCAUCCCCUCCCCAGUUCAUCCAGGUGCCUAUAUCAAAGCAGCAGGGGAGGAUCUCCCAGCAGCAAGGGAUCCUUUCUGAAACACAGUUGUGUAGGACUUCUCUUUGGAAGCAAUGAUGAGAGAGCACUCCCUCGAAACCCACCCCAGCGCCAUUUCAGGCUGGUGGAGGUGGUGGUACUGGGCUACAGCUCUUAAUCUGUGGGAAUUUUCCUCCCUCCAGCAUUUGCUGCAUAUGUAAAGCCCUGCAUAAGCCAUUGUAGUCUCUGGGAUCUGGGGGUGGAAAGAGGAAUGGAAGAAAUCUUGAAGCAGAAUAUAUUUAGCUUCCUUCUCUUCCAGGAUGCUCCUUCACACCUCACUGUUCAGCGCAUCCAGCCCUGCACCGAGCAGGGGAAAUGCAGCAAAACCAGCAGAGCUUUCUGCAGCAAUGAAGGGGCUUUCAGUAAAGCAGCCUCAGUACUGAAAACAUGAAAGGGACACCACAGUUCUUUAUCAAAGCACAGUUUAACACAAUCCAUGUGAGGGAUGCUGUGUUAGUUCCUAGCACUAUUUAGCUAUACCGAAAGGAAAGGAAAAUAUUAUAGCUAUGCAGAAAUAAAAAAUGGGAUCAAGAUUAGUGGAAAAGGGCAGAAAUGACGUUUACUAAGCUGCCUUUUGCCUGUGAUGUUUGUUCUUUACUGUUUUUCACUUAACAAGACUGCAGAAGACAUUACUUGUCCUUAAAGAGUGCUACUGCAUGCAGAGAGGAACCAGACCGUGGUUAUCUGCUGUAACCGAAAAGCUGACAUUUUGAAGUGGUCAUUAUUCAUUGCAACUGCUCAGAUUGAGGCCAUUUCACAUGGAAACAAUUAAGAGGCAGAAUGCAUAUCAUAACAAAGGAAUGAGAAAGAAAGAUCAGGAAAUACAGGCAGAUUGGAUAAUUCUCUUAAAAUGGAUACCGUAUUUACUGCAAGUGAUUAUAACAAAUCUAAGACUUGUAUUACCACCAGAGAACAGACAUGACUGAAUUGCAGAUUUUCUCAUGCAACCUCAGAGGAAAAAAUUCAGUUUAUUGAUUAAUUCAUAAUUUAGGUCCAGAAUGGAAAAAAAAAAAUCUCAUUUCAUUUGUGUGCAGGAUGGAAGGAGCCUGAAAAUAAUGAAUUACAAAAGUGGUCACAACUGGAAAUUACAGAUAAAUGAAAACCAAAUAGGAAUGCAAAACAAUAUGGUCCGCGUGUACUUCAGUAAAAGCAAGGGAAAAAUGCAAAUGUGCAUGGAAGGGCAUCCACAGAGAUUGCAGAUUCUUCUCGAGAUCGGCCUAAGUGCAACUGGAGAGAAGAGAAGAGGAUAAAGAACAAAAUCCACUUCUAAAGAGGCGUGUUGUCUUACAUGCAGGAGAUACGGGGGGAGGGUUUCUUUACACUAUCAGAGAAUGAGCGAGGUAAUUACUGGAAGGCAUAUAUUGCAAUAAAGAAUUAUGAAACACCAUUUAAUUCUUCUUUCUGGUUGAGUAAUUAAACAAACAGAAUAUCAGCACUAAACGGUGUGAGACGGAUGAGACACCAUGAGCCUUAUACAACCAGGAGCCAGGAUGUCCAUGUCCCUCGGUCCUAAAACAGUCAUCUGUGUUUGCAAGGAAGUUCGGAAAUCACUUAGCGAAGAUAUCGAUACUGGAUCUCCUAGUGGCAUAAAUGCCACACCUUUCUGCUGUGUACACAUUCACACGCCGAAUUUCAUUAUGCCCCCCAAAAUGAGUGACUUAAACUUGGACAAUUAAGUGACAGCAAACUGCCCUCCAAUUCCUUCCCCCUGACCACUGUCUGGGAGACUAAUUUUUAUUGCCAUUGAAAUCAAUUUGAGUUGUAUGACUAACCUCACUGGAGCCAGGAUGCAAGCAGCUAAUGGUCUGCUGACAAUAGCUGGGAACUGGCACAAGUCAGAGCAGAAAUAUUUAAUACCUUGUGACUGGGUGAAUAUUGCUUUUGCACUAUCAGCUUACAAAGGGGAUUUCAGGUGUUGAGGCAUUAAUUCCUCUUCAGAUAUCCAGCUUUCCCCCUUAAGUACAGAAUCACAGCACGGCUAAGGUGGGAAGUGACCUCUGAUCCAACCCUGCUCAAACAGCAGGCUGUCCUGCGUCCAAGUGCCACACCCAAAUGGUUUUUAAGUAACUCGAAGGAAGAAGACUCCACAGCCUCCCUGGGCAACCUGUGCUAGUGAAAAACAGGAAUUCCUAAGUGGAAGGCAUCAAACGUCCUCAGGAGGCCGAGCACGCGCUAAACAAAAUUAGCCAAUACGGACCCAAGAGCAAAAAGGCUGAGGGCACAUCUGCAGGGGCAGAGCAGACCUGAUGUGUUACCUGUGCUAUCUGCCUCCACCAUCCUCAUCCCUACAUCUCAACAACGAGGGAUAUUUCACAGUCAUGCUUCUUCGAAAGUAGGGGCUGGUGGGAAGAGCUGUGCUGCUGAGGCACAUGGUGUUUGCCCACACCUCUCCCUUCCCGCUGCUCCUGUCCUGCUGGGGCCUCGAGCUUUAGAUAUUCAAGACAACCAGUGGGAUUUCCAGCUGGAAACUUGUGCCAUUUCCAGUCCUUUCCCAUCUUGCAGAGAAUCUUUUGUCUAUAAAGUAGCCCAACUGCAGAAAUCAGCAUCUGCAGAAAGAGUCAUCUUGGGUGCCAUUCUAGAAAGGGCUCCGUUUGACAUAGUUAAUACAGAAGAUCCCUUUAAAUAGUAAAACUUUCGCACAUUUGUAUUCAGAGCUGUUACGAUUUUAUUUUUAAAGGGAAUGUAGGUGUUCGCUAGCAGUGGGUGUGAGACUGACAGCACUAGACCAGAGCUCGCCAUUGCAGAACAACUGCUGCAUAGCCUACUGUACUGCAAACCUCUGUGAUGAACAUGCCGAGGUUUGAGAGAGGCCAUCCUUCUCAAGCCUGUUACUGUCCCCGUGCCUGUUCUCUCCUUGUCCUCAAAGUGAGUCAGCUGCUAGGAUGGCCUGCGUGUGUGCACUUGCAGGAGCAGACACAAGAUUACCAGGCCUUGCAGACAGUAAUUACUUUUAAGCUUUAGCACUGCAUUUGGAUUUUGCACUCCAGUGCCAAAGAAGUAGCUUUCUGUGCGACGUCACACUCACUUAACCACAUGCCUGGGUCUGUUUUUUCUUUAUUUGUCAACUGUUUGUUCUUAAAAAUAAAUAGCUCAAACUCUGAUGCAAAGGCUCUUACCAGCUUUCUAUGGGCUGGUAAGCAUGCGUGCUGGUCUAUUCAAUAAAUCACCCUUGAUACGCAAUUUUCCAUAACUGAGGUAUCUUAUGCCUCUCAGCAUCAUUUAAUGGGGACUCUGCAAAGUAUCACACUGAUCCUUUCCCCCACUCCACCCCACUCAGAAACACACCGUGAAAAAAACAAAAAGCACCUCCAGGACAGAACCCCUCCGAACACUUAAAACCCUCUUUUAGUUCUUACCUGAUCCUGUGCCAUCUAUUCCACAUAUGAUAAGGUCAGUAGUGGUGCCAGUACGGUGUAGAUACUUCCUCUUUCUUCAGCUGUGCCAGGUAUAUUACUAAACUGAGUUCACACAUUUUCUUCCAAGACUAUAAACAAAUUUCCUUCAUGCUAUUUCUCUGAAUCUUCCAGCUAAUGUGCUUAGGAUUUUGGUUCAAGUUAUUCAAAAGAAUUCUUCUUUAGCCUAUCUUUUAUUUCUUGGCUUCCUUUGAAUAAUUUAUGGUCAAUUUUUAAUUUUCUCUCACUGGCUGUAGUCUUGUACAGAGAACUCUGAGCUGCAAGCCCAAAUACCAGAGCCAGGAUGCUCCAAAUUCUGCCCCUGCAGAGAAAUUCUGCCUCUGCUCAAAAUAACAACAGAGCCUCUUGCUGUGAGAUCAUCUAAGGCUUCUUGUUCAUUCUCUAGAUUUUAUGGUAGGAUCUUUUGUGAUGAGUUGCAGCUCUGCCUUCCCUCCUUUCAUGUUUUGAAGCUCUUUUGCUGUAAUCAGUCCUCUGAAGCACCAUUCUUUCCUUUGAAUUGGCUGAGAAUUUGGGUUAAAGUGACUGAAGGAUGUGACAACAAAGGAGUGAUUGUCAUCAGGUCCCAAGGAUUUGAUAUGCUGUUGGUUAUAAAAUGCAUUUGGACAGCCCAAGUUGUGUGCCAGAUUAAUAUUUGAUGUCAUUGGACUUGACUGGCUGUAAAGAAGGAAGCUGGAGACGUUGUUGGGAAAAUGGCCAUCUCCCUUUCACCGAGGAGCUUGGGCUCAUGGAAGUUGACAGCCUGACAGCCCAAUCUCCCAUCCGCCCAUACACGCUAGCCAGUGCGAGCGGUGAGCUGUGGCAAUGCAAGUUUUCCCGUGUUUAAUCACUGAUAGGUCAAAUUAUCCUUGCAACCCCUACGUUUCAUGCUUACAUUAUAUUACCAGCAACAACUUUGCUUAGUGUGUUUUCUAUCAUUAUUUGCCAAGUCAUUAAAUUACACUUAGAGUACUGAUGUUUAAUCUGUCCUUACUGCAUAUGUCUGGAGUUUCUCUAUGUAGUCCAUGAAGGUAUGUAGUCACCUGAUAUGCUCAGAAAUCCCACAUUCACUCACAUAUGUCUUAGAGUUAAACAAAUAGAAGUAAAUUUGGGGCUGUAUCAUUAAAGCUGUCAUAAAUGGUCAGGUUUUGUUUGUCUUCUGAUCCUUUAUCUUAACUUAUCCAAAAUACUGCUAGGCUAAUGAGGACCACGUGCCAGUGGCACUUCAUUUAAAAAGGAAAAAAAAGAAAGAAGUUAGUCUCAUGGCACACGGAUAUUAAAAAAAUAAAUCAAAUAAAACUUGGCGUUGUAAAUGGAAAUCAAUGGGCUGCAAAAUUGUAUUUGUUCUAGCUGGAUAGAGUACUUGCCGAGUUCCAAGCUGUCUGUCCCCUGCUGAGGAGAGGCAGGGUCUGCUCUAUGUGUAGUGCAAUUGCAAAGCUACUGUGUAUAAACACGCACCUCUCCACAUGCAAUGCAAUUUAUGCAUGUAAAAAAUAAUAAUUAAUUUUACAACAUCCCAGGAGACACAAAUAUUAGUCCUCUUUUACGGACAGCAUGCAAUGAGACUGGAUAUUUUGUCCAAAGCAAGUCCCUUUUGGGGUCGAAAUUUUUGGCUCCUGGUCUUAUUCUCAAGAAAUUUGACUGUGCCUGUCUUAAAAUUCUUUCAGUAUCUAUGAAUUGCAGACAACAUAAUAUCUGAAUAAUAAUACUAGGUAUAGUGGUGCUCUGUAAUUCCAUGUGACUUCUGGCUCGCUCUGCCUUCUAGUUCACGAUGUGUGGACGUGUAACCGAGGACAGUGUUGGUUCUCAGCAGCACUAUGCUCAACUUGGCUGCUUUUCUACAACUCUGGUUCUUGAUCUUUUGAUAAAUCUUAGGAAAACCGCCUGUGACAUGGAACUCUGCUAAACUGAAAUACUUGCAUAUUACCAUGUAGAACAAAUAAAAAAUAUUUCUAUUAUAAGCAGCUGAUUACUGCUAUGUCUACAGUAUCUGCUUUUUGUCUCCUUCCUUAUUCCAUAAUUUUGAUAAUGAUGACUAUUCCUAUUAGGCAUAUAAGCAACUAAUUGUUCUUGUAUGUUCUCAUUGACUUAUACUGCAUAUAUUUACCAUACAAAAUCUAACGUCUUCAAAGAAUUCUUAUUACACAAAACUACAUUGGUCAAAAACCCUCCAAUACUCUUCUCCCAGGAUUUCUAUGUGUACAGUCCUGAGAACCCAAGUUUUUCACUCUCCAAAGACUGGGUUUUGAAGUUUAUCACCCUGAGGAAGGAAAGCCAACCAAACAUACCUUGAGAGGCUGAAGAAGAUGUUUUCAGGCUGGAGGAUGUACAGCUGGACAGGAAGAUUGGCAACCAGGAUAACAGCUGCCAGCUCUGGCAACAGGAUGAAAGCUAAAUAGAGGAGAGAGGUAAAAUGAGCACAUCUCAUUCUUUGAAGUUUCAUCAGGUGACACUUGACAUUAAAAUAAUGCAGAAAAGGAUUAUUAGUGCAAAAUACUUUGCCGUCAGAGAUCCUGGAUGUUGGGACUUUCAGCCCUGUGGACUCCUUGCGUUCUGUCUGCAGGAGCUGCCCAUUCAGCUACCAGGACUGUCCUACCAAGGAGUCCUGUCCUCUAAA